rnacentral:misc_RNA from 1 species
GAUGAAGAACGUAGCGAAAUGCGAUAAGUAAUGCGAAUUGCAGAAUUUCCGUGAGUCAUCGAAUCUUUGAACGCACAUUGCGCCCCUUGGUAUUCCGAGGGGCAUGCCUGUUCGAGCGUCAUUAUAACCCCUCAAGCUCAGCUUGGUGUUGGGGCCUGCUGCACUGGCAGCCCUUAAAAUCAGUGGCGGCGCCAUCUGGCUCUAAGCGUAGUAAUUCUUCUCGCUAUGGAGUCCUGGUGGAUGAUUGCCAUCAACCCCCAAUUUUUCUAUGGUUGACCUCGGAUCAGGUAGGGAUACCCGCUGAUCUUAUGCAUAUCAAUAAGCGGAGGA